GAGUUUCAGUCAGGAAACUGUUUCCUUGUGUUUAUGGCUUGCUGUGCCCACUAAAUAAGUAUUUACAUGAAAGUUGUGUAAUUUCUCUUCCCUGCAAGGACAGUUUGGUUUGGAGUCAGACUGGAUGAGAGGAGAGAGAUUUCCUUCCUUUUCCUAGACUACUCUGGCAAGUCUGCCCAAAAGACAUUAAAUGUUGGGAAACCGCAAAAAAGAAAUGGCGUUUUUUUUAAGACAUGAAUAUGAUUUUGUGGGAAAAAAAUGAAGGCUAAUCUUCAUGUGUAGUAGAAAGUUUGUAGAAGAAUAUAGAGCAAUUACAAUGCACACUGAACAUGUCCUCUGCUUUUAUUUUUAAAGAGAUUGCAAAUCUCUCAAAUGUGAAACCCGAGACUGCAGGAACUGGGCCUUUCCUCUUACUGUCUCCAGAUGUGAGCUCGCACCCACACCCUGUGCAGCUGGGAGCCCCAGCGGUGCACCCUGUGGCCACGGGGCUGGUGGAGAGUGGGGGGAUCAGCCAUUCUAAAGCACAACCUGAGCAGUCUGCUGAAGGCGUGAAGGGAAACCCCUCCUUUGCUGUCACAUGCUGAGCCUUGGAGCAUCCCCCUGAGUGGAUGCAAGAGCUUUAAUUUGGUGGAGGAAGCUGGAACUCUGCUGCAACUGCAACAACCCAGCAAUGAGCUCUGUCACAACAGCCCUCCCCAACUGCUGCCGUCCUGGAGGCCAAGGGACAGCAAGCAAUGGAAUCUGAUACAAAGAGGGGUGAGACUAUGUGAGCAGCAAAGGGAAAAAAAAUCCAAACAAAAAACCAGUUCGGGUGUUGAGAAUUUAGUCAAGAAUUGGGGGUUGGAACUAGAUGAUUUUUAAGGUCCCUUCCAACCCAAACCAUUCCAUUUUAAAGGUCUUUUCCAACUUAGUUGAUUCUAUGAGAAACACUUAUUGUUGAGCUUUUAAUUUAUUUUUUUUUUAAUUUGGUCUUCAGAAGAUAAACUUUCGGGUGUAAAUAUGGACACUGGUUUAAGCCCAUUUAAUGGAGAUUACUCUUUUAGUAGGAGUAAAUAUCAUGCUAAUCAAUCCUGGUAGGUUAGACAGAUGUCUUAACAGAACAUGCGUGCACACUGCCUGAUGCCUGUGUAGAUGCUGAGAUGCAGCAGUUUCAAUGCCUUUGCAUCCCCGUGCAUGAAAGUCUGGUAUUGAUGAUUUUGGGAGGGGCUGAUUUUUUACAUUUUUAGGGUCAGUUUUCUGAGUUUCUUUGUCUCCAUAAAAUUUCACAGACUGAUGAAAGUU
rnacentral:lncRNA from 1 species